rnacentral:lncRNA from 1 species
CUGUCCAAGCACCUGAAGGGCUUUUGACCCAAAAUCCUCCAUCUCCCGUUGUCCAGGUAAACUCUUUUGCUUUUAGUAACUCCACCUUUAGUUUCAGCCGGUACCACACCGUCCUCAGCACGUCGCACCAGCAGCAAAGCCGGAUAACAGGGCCGAGCUCUUCGAACUGGUGAAGAACGGCCUCGUCGAAAACGCCUUUGAGAAAGCUCUGUCCCUGAACGAUCCUUCCACGGUCUGGUGGCUUUGCACCAAGGUAAGCCAUUCACGUCCUCCAGCUGCUCAUCAAAGCUUUGUCAGCUCAGGUGGAGGAUAGCGUCCUGCUCGCCUUCAGUGAAUCAAUGCUCAUGGAAGUGGCCGAGCAAAUCAACACCAACUUCGAGGAAGACACUGCUCGCAGGUUGCUCUGGAUCAACGAGAUCCUGUUCAUCUUGCUGUACGUCAACGUCAAUGGACAGACGUCACCUCGGAUGCAGAGGAUCUUGGAGGAGCUUUCACAGAACCUCCACGGCAUGAUGGCUAUAACACCGUCAAACAGCGAGCUGGCGAUGAAGCUGGCAGACGUGCUGAAAAGAACCAACGUGGGUCUUCGGGUUCGUAUGAAGCUCUUCGUGUUAUUCGUUUGAUUCAAAUCGUUUGUCGUCGCAGCGUAUCCGAUAUGGGAACAAACUUCAGAAGAAAGGGAAAAGGAAACUGUGAAAUAAAACAGCUAUAUAUUUCCAGCGGAACACCGGUAGUUUCUGAGUAUUGAGAUGUUCUAAUUUUCUGCCUGCCAAAAGUAUCAACCAUGCUUCACGAAAGAACCAUAAAGAACUUACCAAUUCCCAUUCGUAACUUCGUCUCAUCCUGCCGGGGAAAAUGUGAAGGAAACUUACGAGAUAAAUAUCAAAGCACAAAGGUUUCACCAUUCUUUAGUUCUUAAACUGGAAGGAGCUCAUGGCUCUCGCAAUGAACCGAGAGCCGGGAAGCCUGACGACCGAGACAGAACGAGCCAAAGAGAUACUCUGCUCCAUCCUCCUGGGAAACAAGUCAGUGAUCAACCACAAGGAACUCAAGCUGAGAACACACCUGGGACAAGGAGCUUACGGAACCGUGUACGAAGCAAUGUGGCUCGGUCACAAGUUCACGGUGAAAGUCUUCCCUCAAGGUGACACCAGCUUUGCCAAAGAGCUCGCGGUUCUCGGAGCUCACAAGCAUCCCAACGUGUUGCACAUUGCCGGCCAUUCUUUCGAUGGAGAGAAGCAGCAGUACUCGCUGGUGAUGGAGAAGAUGGACAUGGACCUGGCAAACUACCUCCUCAAGAAGAACUCCCUCUCGUUGCUGUCGAUCGUGGCAGUGAUGCUCCAAGUCACUACUAAUGAAUGGGAAUCAAAAUUGUGACCAUCGUCUCCCGCUACUGUCAUCAAGGGCCUAAAACAUACACCAAUUUUCUUGUCUGAUUAAAGUAUGAUUCCCAAACCAAAAAAAAAUGCCUUAGGACUUAGAAUUAUUCAACAAGAAAAGUCCAGACAAAAAAAAAAUGCCUUAGGACUUAGAAUUAUUCAAAAAGAAAAGUCCACGGUAGACUUUUCCCACGCUAUACCUUUACAAGAAUGGUGCGGUGCUGGUAGUGAUCACCAACGGGCAUGGCAGCAGCGACUUUGCUCGAGGCAAUUCGAAUCGUGGACAAGCUUGGCACAAUAUCCACUUCCAGCAAGGUCUGUAGAAACCAACAUAGGAUCCUCAUCGCGGCGGUCGGCUAUGUCCGAGACUACCUCAAGCAAAUCCAGGAUCUCAACUUCGCGAGCAACGGGCCAGCCUUCGUGUGGGACGAAACCGUGGCUGUCCUUAACAGAGGCCUCCAUCUCCUCAAGUCGUGCCAAGAAGGCAAUUGGAUCACGCGGAGCCUCCUGUUCGAGGAAAGCUGCAAUGAGUUUCAGAGCAUUUAUCCCGAGAUCUACAACUGCGUCGAGCUCGUCAGCGUCUAUCUCUUUCAGCUGGCACCGUCCACCUCGCACAGAUCCAGGAUUGCCGAGGCUUACAACUCGUGCCUCAUGAGGCAGAACUCGAGCAGCAUGCUGGAAGAAGCCGAAAGGAACGAUCGGAAGGAGCUCAUGACUCUCGCAAUGAGCCAAGAGCCGGGAAGCCUGACGACUGAGACAGAACGAGCCAAAGAGAUACUCUGCUCCAUGCUCCUGGGAAACAAGUCAGUGAUUAACCACAAGGAACUCAAGCUGACAACACACCUGGGACAAGGAGCUUACGGAACCGUGUACGAAGCAAUCUGGCUCGGUCACAAGUUUGCAGUGAAAGUCUUCCCUCAAGGUGACACCAGCUUCGCCAAAGAGCUCGCGGUUCUUGAAGCGGACAAGCAUCCCAACGUGUUGCACAUCGCCGGCCAUUGUUUCGAUGAAGAGAAGCAGCGGUACUCGCUGGUGAUGGAGAAGAUGGAGAUGGACCUGGCAAACUACCUCCUCAAGAAGAAGAACUCUCUCCCGUUGCUGUCGAUCGUGGCAGUGAUGCUCCAAGUUGCUACUGGCAUGGCCUGGCUUCACUCGAAGAAUAUAAUCCACCGGGACCUCAAGCCGCAGAACAUCUUGGUUGGCGAAGAAGACAACGAUCUCGUGAGUAUCAGGAUUGCCGACUUUGGAGUCUCGAGGCCAAACUUCAUCUCCUCCCAGAUCGAAGCCGUUAGCAUCCAAGGCACCAGGAACUUCAUGGCACCGGAAGUGUGGAGCGGCGAGCGCUACACGAAGAAGGCCGACGUUUACAGGUACGGGAUGCUGAUUUACCAGCUUGUCACUGGAAACGUUCCGUUCGAGGACGGGAUGGACAUGGAGCAAGUCCUUCGAGGCGAGCGUCCUGAGGUACCAGCAACCUGUCCAGCAUGCGGGAAUGCUGGAGCCACGAUGCAAAAGAGAGGCCUUCCUUCUCGGAUAUCUGCGAGCGGCUGAAGCAGCUCAAGACCAGGAUCAUCACUGGCACCGACUCCAUCGACAAGUUACGAGCCAAGUUGGUUGCAGCAGCCAGGUCAUCUUCCUCUUCUUCGUACUCGUCGUCUUCCUCGUCCUCGUCGCACAGCAGGACUCGAGUGAACCUGGAUUCUCCUGUCCAAGCACCUGAAGGGCUUUCAACCCAAAAUCCUCCAUCUCCCGUUGUCCAGGUAAACUCUUUUGGUUUUAGUAACUCCACCUUUAGUUUCAGCCGGCACCACACCGUCCUCAGCACGUCGCACCAGCAGCAAAGCCGGAUAACAGGGCCGAGCUCUUCGAACUGGUGAAGAACGGCCUCGUCAAAAACGCCUUUGAGAAAGCUCUGUCCCUGAACGAUCCUUCCACGGUCUGGUGGCUUUGCACCAAGGUAAUCCAUUCACG